rnacentral:rRNA from 1 species
UACAGAGGUCCCAAGCGUUACUGAGAAUCACUGGGUUUAAAGGGUGCGUAGGUGGUCCGUUAAGUCAGUUGUGAAAUCCCCCGGGCUCAACCCGGGAAAUGCUUCUGAUACUGGCGGACUUGAGGCCAGUAGGGGUCACUAGAACUGACGGUGGAGCGGUGAAAUGCGUAGAUAUCGUCAGGAAUGCCGGUGGUGAAGACGGGUGACUGGGCUGGUUCUGACACUGAGGCACGAAAAGCGUGGGGGAGCGAACGGGG